UGUGUUGAGUUUCUCAGGGCCGUCUCUUUGUUCAGUCUAUCUACUCUCUAGGUGAGGACUGUGUAGGACUAGGUGAGGACUCUGUGUAGGACUAGGUGAGGACUCUGUGUAGGACUAGGUGAGGACUCUGUGUAGGACUAGGUGAGGACUCUGUGUAGGACUAGGUGAGGACUCUGUGUAGGACUAGGUGAGGACUCUGUGUAGGACUAGGUGAGGACUCUGUGUAGGACUAGGUGAGGACUCUGUGUAGGACUAGGUGAGGACUCUGUGUAGGACUAGGUGAGGACUCUGUGUAGGACUAGGUGAGGACUCUGUGUAGGACUAGGUGAGGACUCUGUGUAGGACUAGGUGAGGACUCUGUGUAGGACUAGGUGAGGACUCUGUGUAGGACUAGGUGAGGACUCUGUGUAGGACUAGGUGAGGACUCUGUGUAGGACUAGGUGAGGACUCUGUGUAGGACUAGGUGAGGACUCUGUGUAGGACUAGGUGAGGACUCUGUGUAGGACUAGGUGAGGACUCUGUGUAGGACUAGGUGAGGACUCUGUGUAGGACUAGGUGAGGACUCUGUGUAGGACUAGGUGAGGACUCUGUGUAGGACUAGGUGAGGACUCUGUGUAGGACUAGGUGAGGACUCUGUGUAGGACUAGGUGAGGACUCUGUGUAGGACUAGGUGAGGACUCUGUGUAGGACUAGGUGAGGACUCUGUGUAGGACUAGGUGAGGACUCUGUGUAGGACUAGGUGAGGACUCUGUGUAGGACUAGGUGAGGACUCUGUGUAGGACUAGGUGAGGACUCUGUGUAGGACUAGGUGAGGACUCUGUGUAGGACUAGGUGAGGACUAUGUCUUUACAGAUAGCUCAGUGAUAAAGCAUGUCCCCUGUGUUUUACAAAGUAGCACUCACCAAGUUCAAUAGGCAAAAUUACACUCAGUCAAGUUGCCCCCAGAAUACAUUCCCCUGUGGACUAGCUUUAGUUAUCCUCUCAAUGUAGAAUUGUAUGAUCUGCAUGGCUUCUGCACCAUGAGGUCCCCUCUGUGAGGGCCUAACAAAGUGUGAUAAGUCACUGGAAAUGACCUAAGUUGUGUCCACUAGUUUUGGAGCCCAUGGCCUUGACAACACAAGUGCAGGGGCUUGUUCAGCUGUCCAGAGGAGAUUAGUGUCCCUGCUUCUAUUCUGAGCAGCACUGUCUUGUCUUGAAUGACAGAGCACAGUGGUCCUUAGGGCUCGCGUGGCCAGCCGCAUCUCCGUACAGCAGGAGCCUGACCCCCCCACCCUUUGUUCCUCACUGAAGGACAUGAUCUUUUAAAAGACUCCUUUAGAGUGGCUGUUGUUUUUGUGUAGAGCUAGUUGGUGUGUAGAACUAGUAGCAGUUAGUGUGUAGAACUAGUGGCAGUUGGUGUGUAGAACUAGUGGCAGUUGGUGUGUAGAACUAGUGGCAGUUGGUGUGUAGAACUAGUGGCAGUUGGUGUGUAGAACUAGUGGCAGUUGGUGUGUAGAACUAGUGGCAGUUGGUGUGUAGAACUAGUGGCAGUUGGUGUGUAGAACUAGCGGCAGUUGGUGUGUAGAACUAGCGGCAGCUGGUGUGUAGAACUAGCGGCAGCUGGUGUGUAGAACUAGCGGCAGCUGGUGUGUAGAACUAGCGGCAGCUGGUGUGUAGAACUAGCGGCAGCUGGUGUGUAGAACUAGCGGCAGCUGGUGUGUAGAACUAGCGGCAGCUGGUGUGUAGAACUAGCGGCAGCUGGUGUGUAGAACUAGCGGCAGCUGGUGUGUAGAACUAGCGGCAGCUGGUGUGUGUGUGUGUGUGUGUAGAACUAACUAGUGGUAGGUAACUGGUCAGAAAAGGGUGAGCUGGAAAUGAACUGUUGAGGCCCUUUAUUCAUUUUAGCACCUAGUUAAGUAUCACGUCAGUCAGUGGCAGUCCAGUGGAAUGUACACUCUCCUAUACUGGACACAUCAUUAACACACUGUUCAUAAGACCAUAUACAAUUCCUGUAUGUCAUCUUAUACAAUACAAUACAAUUAUUGUAUAGGUGUUAUUUUAUCAGACAAGUCACUAUUAGAAUAAAUUGGUAACACUUGAUCAACUUUCAUAAAUAAGCAUUAAUAAACAAAUGUUUUUUCAUUAUUUGUAAACAUUUAUAACCAUUUAUAAUGUAAUAAAAGUUAUUAUAAAGUGUUACCUAAAGAAUCCACUGCUUCUGCAUACUCUAGACUAGAGAAAUAGCUAUUGGCUGGAGGAGCAGCUUGGCUGGGUGCUGCAGGAAUACAGGCGAGCCCAUUUGGCUGGAGGAGCAGCUAGGCUGGGUGCUGCAGGAGAAGCUAGACUGGGUGCUGCAGGAAUACAGGUGGGCCCCAUUGGCUGGAGGAGAAGCUAGGCUGGGUGCUGCAGGAGAAGCUAGGCUGGGUGCUGCAGGAAUACAGGUGGGCCCCAUUGGCUGGAGGAGAAGCUAGGCUGGGUGCUGCAG